AUGUUCCCCUGUCAGAUCUGUUGUCAUAACUGUGCCACAAUAGUGACAUACAUAAGGCACAUGAGAAUUCAUAAAAAUACACCUAAUUUAACCUUUAAGUGUGUUUUGCCAGAUUGCAGUCAGACUUUUAAAAAAUUUUCAACGUUUAAGUGUCACACUUACAGGCAUAAAAAAUGUGUAGUUAGGCCUACUUUGUCUGGUGUUGAACUAACAUGUCAUGUUGAUAUCUGCAGUGCAAGGUGUGAGACUUUGACAGCAUUUUACUCUCAUUUGAAAACACACAUUAGAGAGGGGAAAAAAGUUGCAUGUCCUUACAGACACUGUAGCAAGAGCUUUACAGUUUUAUCCACAUUCACAUCACACAUGAGUCGGAAACAUAAAAAUGGUACUGAGGAAAAUUUGGCUGAGUCUGUUGUGAAUCCUGGUGUUUCCCAUGAGAGUGAACAGGAUCAGUCUGACAUGCAGAUUGAUCCUCCCUGUAAUGCAGGUGAUGAACAAGAGAUUUACCCAGAAAUUGCUGAUGAAUCACAGUUCUUUAAAAAUUUAGCCCUCUUUUAUUUGAAAUUGCAAGCAAAGUGUUUGCUUCCAUCCUCUGUCAUCCAAACAAUUAUUGAAGAUUUUCAGGAAAUACAUGAUAUAAGCCAGUCACAUUUGCUUUUCAAACUCAAAGAGAAGUUGAUUACAGUUGGGAUUUCUGAAGCAGACACAAACAAUGUGAUUGAAGUCAUGAAAACUGAGGAUCUCUUUAGGACCUGCAACACUCAGCCACUGAAAACUGAUCAGAAAAGAAAAACAGUUUUCAAGAACAGCUUCAACUAUGUUGAGCCAGUUCAGAUCUUUCUAGGUCAGAAUGAGGCAGGCAAAGAGUGUUUUGCCCAGUAUGUUCCUAUUAAACAGACAAUUGAUUCUCUAUUCCAUUGCCAGUCAGUGCAGGAACAAUAUAAGCAAGCACAUGCCAGUAUUGGUUCUAAGGAUAUUCUUAAGGAUGUGUGGGAUGGCAAAAAUAUGGCUGAGAAUGUGCUCUUCCAGACAGAGAGCUCAUCACUGGGCUUGAUCCUGUAUCAGGAUGCAUUUGAAGUGGUAAACCCACUGGGAUCUGGAAAGAAAAAACAUAAGAUACUUGCAGUGUAUCUAACUCUUGCAGAUUUAAUGCCACACAACAGAUCCAGCACUGAUCAAAUGCAACUUGUUCUUCUCUGUAAAGAACACGAUUUUAAGUAUUUUGGUCAAGACUUGGUUAUGGGCACUCUUGUCAAUGACCUUAAAGAUCUUGAGCUUAGUGGUGUUACCCUGUCUGAUGGAAAGGUUUACAAGGGAACUUUAUGUGCCAUUGCAGGCGACAACCUAGGCUCACAUAACAUAGGAGGCUUUGUGGAGAACUUCAGCAGGAGCUCACACUUCUGCAGAUAUUGUGAUAUCAGCAGAGAAGCAUUCCAUGCAGAUCCUCUUAUCCAGAGCACAAAACGCACAGUGCAGUCAUACAGUGGUCAUGUUCAGAGCAGUGAAGGACAGUCUACAUCUAGUGGAGGUGUUAAAUUUGACUCUGCAUUUAAUACGCUCAAAUACUUCCAUGUAUGUCAGCCAGGGUUGCCUCCAUGUCUUGGCCACGAUCUUUUUGAAGGUAUUGUAUCCUCUGAUCUGGCACUGUACAUUAACCAUCUUGUUAAGGUGGAUAAAAUGUUUAGCUAUCUUGAGUUGAAUCGACGAAUAAAUCAGUUCAAGUAUCUCGGUAGGGAUGCUAAUGACAAACCGUGUGAGUUUAUUCCAGAGGGUGGAAAACUUGGGGGACAUGCUGUGCAGAAUUGGUGUUUGCUGAGAAUGUUGCCCGUUUUGAUCGGAGACAAAGUAAAAAAUCCAGGUGACAACCAAGUUUGGCAGUUGGUUUUGCAACUUAGAGAAGUCGUGGACCUCAGUUGUGCACCUGCGAUUUCAAAUGGCCAGAUAGCCUACCUAAGAGUUCUGAUUGAUGAAUAUUUGCAUUGCCGAAUUCAAACCUUUCCUGACAACCCACUGAAGCCCAAACAUCAUUAUGUCAGUCAUUAUCCUGAGCUCAUUAUCCAGUUUGGGCCACUUAUUCGCCUAUGGACUUUAAGAUUUGAGAGCAAACACACAUAUUUUAAGCAGUGUUUGAGAAAAUUGCGUAACUUUAAGAAUCCAUGUUCUACUCUUGCAGAGAGACAUCAGCUUCUGCAGGCCUUUCUGAGUGCGGGUACCUUCUUCCCUCCAGAUGUUUCAGUGGAGAGGGGCACACAGUUUUUCUCAGAUGACUACAAUGAUGUAAUCAUAGAAGCAGUUGCACAUCACAAUUUUGAGUCCACAAACACUCUGAUAGCCAAUGAAGUGACUGUGAAGGGGACAAAAUACAGAAAGAACAUGAUCAUUGUGAUUGAUGAUGAUGAUGAGGGUCUUGUUACUGGAAAAAUCAAAGUGGUUCUUGUUCAUAAGGAUUCAGCAGUAUAUUUUAUUGCUGAAAAAGUAUCAUGCCCUGCGUAUUUCUGA
rnacentral:lncRNA from 1 species